rnacentral:rRNA from 1 species
GUGCAGCAGUCGAGAAUUUUCUCAAUGGGGGCAACCCUGAAGGGGCGACGCCGCGUGGAGGAUGAAGGCUUUCGGGUUGUAAACUCCUGUCAUUUGAGAACAAGUGGCCGAACCUAACUACUUCGGCCUUGAUAGUAUCAGAAGAGGAAGGGACGGCUAACUCUGUGCCAGCAGCCGCGGUAAUACAGAGGUCCCAAGCGUUGUUCGGAUUCAUUGGGCGUAAAGGGUGCGUAGGUGGCGCCGUCAGUGGGGUGUGAAAUUUCGGAGCUUAACUCCGAAACUGCAUUCCAUACUGCGGUGCUUGAGGACUGGAGAGGAGACUGGAAUUUACGGUGUAGCAGUGAAAUGCGUAGAGAUCGUAAGGAAGACCAGUGGCGAAGGCGGGUCUCUGGACAGUUCCUGACACUGAGGCACGAAGGCCAGGGGAGCAAACGGGAUUAGAUACCCGCGUAG